GACGAACGCUGGCGGCGUGCCUAAUACAUGCAAGUAGGACGCAGUUGCGAACGGGGGAUUAACGCGUAGCUAACUGCCUAUUAGAGGGGGAUAACUAUUGGAUAAGAUAGCUAAUACCGCAUACUAGUAGAUGGACCUGCGUUGUAUUAGCUAGUAGGCAGGGUAAUGGCCUAACUAGGCGACGAUACAUAGCCGACCUGGGGGGGAUGUCCGCCACACUGGGAAUGGGGCACGGCCCAGAACUCUACGGGAGGCAGCAGGUGGGAAUCUUCGGCAAUGGGGGGAACCCUGGCCGAGCAACGGCGCGUGGUUGAAGAAGGGUUUUGGAGCGUAAAGCUCUGUUGUGAAGGAAGCGGUACUUAACCAGAAAGGGCCGGCUAACUACGUGCCAGCCGCCGCGGUAAUUC
rnacentral:rRNA from 1 species